UAGUCCCUCACUGCUGCAGGUAUGGGAUGGAUGUGUCUCCAAUAGUGCAGCUGUAAAAAGACAUUUUACUGCUGGGACACAUCCCCUGCCAGCGGCUUCUGAAUACAGCUCUGCUUUGGGCACACAUUACAGGUUUUUAUACCAGCGCUUUGAACAGCAAUUCAUUAUGUGGUUUAUUAGACCUGAAGUGCAGUUUCACGAUCAGAUUGAUUUAAUGCUGAUCUUGCCUUUUUGUUCCCUGUCUGCAAGCUUGCAUACUUGCCCCCUUGUGCUGGCACCAGCAUGGCACAUUGGGCCCUGCAGACAGCUUCAUCAGGAAGUUGAUUAAACUGAAUAUUAUUAAUUUUUAGCUUUGGGCCCAGAUCAGUUUCCUGAACUGGCUGAUUGCUUGGCUGCACAAAACUGAGUUCUGGGAGAAGAGAGAGGAUUAAAAUGUGGCACAGGCUCGCUCACUCUUCUCAGGAGCACCUCACACCUGGAUUAUCCAGACUUCUUUGGAAAGCACAAGUAUCUCUAAUUUGAAAGCUUCACAACUGAAUUAAAAUUAAGAAUGGAGAAGAAGAGGAAAAUGAGCCUUAGCUUAUGAUUGUCCAGAACAAUUACUUAAAUCCAUUUAGCUGCUUUUUUUAUUACAUCAUCAACUCAUGAAUACUUUUAACCAAAACCAAGAUGGGUUCUGAGUCACUCUUCAUCCUAACACCAACAGGAAUCUCUCUGCCAUAAAUAACAAUUGAACUGAGAUGUAGGUAGGAAAAUAAUAUGUAGAAGUUAAACUCUUCGACAGGAAUUUCAUUCAGAUGAUUUGGUGUAAAUGUUAAUUUCAGGCAUCAAAACCAUGAGAUUAGGGUAUUUCUUCUUUUAAAUACUUGUUUUCAGCUACAAUGAGGAGGUAACAGACCAAAUUCUUCCCCAGCUGCUAUCUGCUUCUCCCCUCCAAAUAUCUGAAUUACAGGAUCUGUUCCCUCCCGGUUGCACCAUAAUAACAAUUGUGAUGGUAAUAGGAUUAUCCAGUGUUAAAGUCAUUCAAGUUGCUUAAUGACCUAAGAACUUCCUCGAGGCUUUUACUUUUCAGCCAAGGAAGUGCUUUUCAUAAAGAAAAUGAUGCUAAAAUAAUCAAAACAAAACCUCACCAAAUGUUCAUGCAUUUAAGAUAUAAAUAAAGAAGAUUUAAGAACAUAUCCUUUCAGUGUUUUAAGAAAGUCCAUCAGUAUGUCUGCAUAAGAAUUAAAUUAAGUGGCAGGAGUGGGUGUAAAACAACAUUACCAUUCAUAGUCCCAGCUGAAUGGUGGAUUCAGAAAAGGAAAGAUGAAUUGCAGAGUGCAAAAUACAGAAAAGGCCAAUUCUACACACGCACGCCUGGAUCCUCAUGACAAAGCCCUGCCUGCCCUCUGUACUGCAACAAGAAUGACCGUGCCCCUGCUCUGUGACUGAGUUCUCCUGCUGUAACACAGCAAGGGUGAGAGGGGAGGGAGGUCCCUCCUGCUUUGCCCUUGCGUAUUCAUCUACAUCAGCGCUGAGUCAGUAAGAACGUCAGCCUGGAACAUUUCUCUUGGCAACAGUUUUGCUUGUGCUGCUCCAGUGUUUUGAGGAUCAUUUUAAUUUUAACUGGCAUCAUCCCUUAAUCUGUGUUGCCAAGCCAUCCCACAAGCGAUGUUCCCAUGUAACAUGGGAUGACAGACAGCAGUGGGCAGCCAGAGCUGCUUCACAUGAGCUCAGUGCAGGCUCAGCUGCAGUGUGAAACUGUCACUACAGAAGGGCUUUGUACCCACUUUGAUUUGACACAGCUGGUUAGGGGAUUAAAAACUCCUCCACUCUUAACAAAAAAUGCUUGUGAUGCUGGUCAAUCAAACUGCAACUCCAGCUUUUCCUUCUUGACAAUAUCUCUUUAAAGGUCUUAAAAGCUUUGAUUAAGGAAAUCAGCUAAAAAGCCCCAAUUAAUGAAAUAAACUACAAAGUCUCCACUGGGUUUAGAUGGAAGGACAACUUGGCUGUAUUUGGACCACAUCCCCACCCACUGCCCUAAUAUCUUACAGCUGCAAUUCCACUUCUACUGAACUGAGCGAUAGAAAUUUCUAAUGACUGAUCUUAAAUGAUCAUAGAGCCAUGCAACUUAAUUUCUUUCACUGUGGCUUCUUCUUAAGUCAAAUUGACAUGUCAUGGAUUUUGUUAAACGAUCUUAUUUUUUAUAAACCACUCAGCUAUGCACACUAGGGCAAGUAACAUGGGAAGUCCUAUACAGGCAGUAACACUUUGAAGGUAAAACCAGAUGUCAAGAGAGACAGCGUUCGGGUUUUACAGUGGGAUCUAGCUGUCCUACACUGUUUGUCUGAGCACAUAUGUAAUACCUUACAGCUUAGGCACAAAUAAA